UACGUAGGGGGCAAGCGUUGUCCGAAUUUACUGGGCGUAAAGAGCAUUAAGGCGGGCUCUUAAGUGAGAGGUGAAAGGUUCAGGGCUCAACCCGAACACUGCCUUUCAUACUGGGAGCCUUGAGUGCGGGAGAGGCGAGUGGAAUUUCUGGUGUAGCGGUGAAAUGCGUAGAUAUCAGAAGGAACACCCAUGGCGAAGGCAGCUCGCUGGCCUGUAACUGACGCUGUAGUGCGAAAGCGUGGGGAGCAAACAGG
rnacentral:rRNA from 1 species